rnacentral:rRNA from 1 species
AUUGAACGCUGGCGGCAGGCCUAACACAUGCAAGUCGAACGAGUGGCGGACGGGUGAGUAAUGUCUGGGAAAAUGCCCGAUGGAGGGGGAUAACUACUGGAAACGGUAGCUAAUACCGCAUACCAUCGGAUGUGCCCAGCUGGGAUUAGCUGGUAGGUGGGGUAACGUCUCACCUCGGAGACGAUCCCUAGCUGGUCGGAGAGGAGGACCAGCCACACGGGAACUGAGACACGGUCCAGACUCCUACGGGAGGCAACAGUGGGGAAUAGUGCACAAUGGGCGCAAGCCUAAUGCAGCCAUGCCGCGGGUAUGAAGAAGGCCUUCGGGUUGUAAAGUACUUUCAGCGAGGAGGCGUUACUCGCAGAAGAAGCACCGGCUAACUCCGUGCCAGCAGCCGCGGUAAUAC